CCACUUCACAUUCAGGCGCGAUUGCCUAUAUAGAGGCUUGCCGGUUUCGGCUGGCUAUGACGAUAAAUUGCAGUGUGCAAUAGGCGCAGCGGACCCGGGGGCAGUACCCGGCGGCUCCACCAUCUCUCGCGUUGUCGCGCGGGGCAUGACGGGGCCGAACCAGGAUCGACGUGUGUUGAAAAGCGCUGUUUUCGUCCGGGCUGAGUAACCCGUUAAAGGCUCAAAACCCAAUAAGUGCCAACGACAACGAAGCACUUGCUCUCGCAGCGUAAUUCUAGGGGCUAACGCCCUGAAGUUACAAAGUCAGAACGCGGUUGGACCCACCGGGCAACAGAAGCGGAUUCCAGGGGUUCGGGGCGUACCUGUCAACAGAAACGCCCCACU
rnacentral:tmRNA from 1 species